GAUGAACGCUGGCGGCGUGCCUAAUACAUGCAAGUCGAGCGGACAGACGAGUAGCUGGCUCCUCUGACGAUAGCGGCGGACGGGAGAGUAACACGUGGAUAACCUACCUAUAUUACUGGGAUAACUUCGGGAAACCGGAGCUAAUACCGGAUAAUAUAUGGUACCGCAUGGUUCAGUAAUGAUAGACGGUUUUGCUAUCACCUCUCGAUCGAUCCGCGCCGCAUUAGCUAGUUGGUAAGGUAACGGCUUAGCAGGGAACCGAUGCGUAGCCGAACUGGGCGGGUGAUCGGCGACACUGGAACUUAUACACGGUCCAUGGUCCUACGGGAGGGAGCAGUAGGGUAUCUGCGGCAGUGGUCGAAAGCCUUACGGAGCAACGCCGCGUGAGUUAUGAAGGUCCUCGGAUCGUAAAACUCUGUUAUGAGGUAAGAACAAAUUUGUAAGUAACCAUGCACGUCUUGACGGUACCUAAUCAGAAAGCCACGGCUAACUACGUG
rnacentral:rRNA from 1 species